rnacentral:misc_RNA from 1 species
AAACCUUCAAGCUCAGCUUGGUGAUGGGUGACUGUCCUCCCCUCGCGGGGGGACUCGCCUCAAAAACAUUGGCGGCCGGUACCUUGGCUUCGAGCGCAGCAGAAACGCGGUCUCGAGCCCGGUGGAUCGGCUCCCAUAAGCCUCCUUCUUUUA